rnacentral:rRNA from 1 species
GUGGAUUAGAUACCCUAGUAGUCCUGGCAGUAAACGGUGCACGCUUGGUUUGAGGGGAAUCGACCCCCUUCGAGCCGGAGCUAACGCGUUAAGCGUGCCGCCUGGGAAGUACGGUCGCAAGACUAAAACUCAAAGAAAUUGACGGGGACCCGCACAAGCGGUGGAGUAUGUGGCUUAAUUCGAUGCAACGCGAAGAACCUUACCUAGGCUUGACAUGCAUUUCUAAGUCGGUGAAAGCCGAUGACUCUUCGGAGGACUUGCACAGGUGCUGCAUGGCCGUCGCCAGCU